rnacentral:rRNA from 1 species
UACGGGAGGCAGCAGUGGGGAAUUUUCCGCAAUGGGCGCAAGCCUGACGGAGCAACGCCGCGUGAGGGAUGAAGGCCUCUGGGCUGUAAACCUCUUUUAUCAAGGAAGAAGAACUGACGGUACUUGAUGAAUAAGCCACGGCUAAUUCCGUGCCAGCAGCCGCGGUAAUACGGGAGUGGCAAGCGUUAUCCGGAAUUAUUGGGCGUAAAGCGUCCGCAGGCGGUUUUACAAGUCUGUCGUUAAAGCGUGGAGCUCAACUCCAUUUCAGCGAUGGAAACUGUAAGACUCGAGUGUGGUAGGGGCAGAGGGAAUUCCCGGUGUAGCGGUGAAAUGCGUAGAUAUCGGGAAGAACACCAGUGGCGAAAGCGCUCUGCUGGGCCAUAACUGACGCUCAUGGACGAAAGCCAGGGGAGCGAAAGGGAUUAGAUACCCCUGUAGUCCUGGCCGUAAACGAUGAACACUAGGUGUCGGGGGAAUCGACCCCCUCGGUGUCGUAGCCAACGCGUAAGUUCCGC